UGCAAGUCGAGCGAACAGAUAAGGAGCUUGCUCCUUUGACGUUAGCGGCGGACGGGUGAGUAACACGUGGGUAACCUACCUAUAAGACUGGGAUAACUUCGGGAAACCGGAGCUAAUACCGGAUAACAUUUGGAACCGCAUGGUUCUAAAGUGAAAGAUGGUUUUGCUAUCACUUAUAGAUGGACCCGCGCCGUAUUAGCUAGUUGGUAAGGUAACGGCUUACCAAGGCGACGAUACGUAGCCGACCUGAGAGGGUGAUCGGCCACACUGGAACUGAGACACGGUCCAGACUCCUACGGGAGGCAGCAGUAGGGAAUCUUCCGCAAUGGGCGAAAGCCUGACGGAGCAACGCCGCGUGAGUGAUGAAGGGUUUCGGCUCGUAAAACUCUGUUAUUAGGGAAGAACAAACGUGUAAGUAACUGUGCACGUCUUGACGGUACCUAAUCAGAAAGCCACGGCUAACUACGUGCCAGCAGCCGCGGUAAUACGUAGGUGGCAAGCGUUAUCCGGAAUUAUUGGGCGUAAAGCGCGCGUAGGCGGUUUCUUAAAUCUGAUGUGAAAGCCCACGGCUCAACCGUGGAGGGUCAUUGGAAACUGGGAAACUUGAGUGCAGAAGAGGAAAGUGGAAUUCCAUGUGUAGCGGUGAAAUGCGCAGAGAUAUGGAGGAACACCAGUGGCGAAGGCGACUUUCUGGUCUGUAACUGACGCUGAUGUGCGAAAGCGUGGGGAUCAAACAGGAUUAGAUACCCUGGUAGUCCACGCCGUAAACGAUGAGUGCU
rnacentral:rRNA from 1 species